rnacentral:rRNA from 1 species
CCUACGGGUGGCAGCAGUGGGGAAUAUUGCACAAUGGGGGAAACCCUGAUGCAGCAACGCCGCGUGAGUGAAGAAGUAUUUCGGUAUGUAAAGCUCUAUCAGCAGGGAAGAAGAAAGACGGUACCUGACUAAGAAGCCCCUGCUAAUUACGUGCCAGGAGCCGCGGUAAUACGGAGGGGGCAAGCGUUAUCCGGAUUUACUGGGUGUAAAGGGAGGGUAGACGGCUGUGCAAGUCUGAAGGGAAAGUCCGUGGCUCAACCGCGGAACUGCUUUGGAAACUGUAUGGCUUGAGUACUGGAGAGGCAGGCGGAAUUCGUGGUGUAGCGGUGAAAUGCGUAGAUAUUAGGAGGAACACCGGUGGCGAAGGCAGCCUGCUGGACAGAAACUGACGUUGAGGCUCGAAAGCGUGGGGAGCGAACAGGAUUAGAUACCCCAGUAGUC